AGAUACCGUCCUAGUCUCAACCAUAAACGAUGCCGACCAGGAAUCAGCGAAUGUUGCUUUUAGGACUCUGCCGGCACCUUAUGAGAAAUCAAAGUUUUUGGGUUCCCAGGGAGUAUGGUCGCAAGGCUGAAACUUAAAGGAAUUGAUGGAAGGGCACCACCAGGAGUAGAGCCUGCGGCUUAAUUUGACUCAACACGGGGAAACUUACCAGGUCCAGACAUAGUAACCGAAUGAGUUACUAUCUAUAGCUAUGAGUUUGUGAGUUCAAGACAAGUAUAUUGCUUAUAUCAUUAUUCUCUUCAUCUUAAAUCUACAUUCUUUGCGGUUCAAACACAAGAACACGC
rnacentral:ncRNA from 1 species